rnacentral:pre_miRNA from 1 species
GUUGAGAAUCGGUAAAGCUCAGGAGGGAUAGCGCCUCUUUUUAAUCUGCAUAUAUAACUCAGAUCAAUGUUGAGGCGCUAUCUAUCCUGAGUUUUACGGUUUCUCCUU